GCCGCCGUGGUGGAAUGGUAGACACGAGGGACUUAAAAUCCCUUGAGGGUAACCUCAUGUCGGUUCAAGUCCGACCGGCGGCACCA
rnacentral:tRNA from 1 species